GUACACGCUGUGACUAGCAUAUCAAUAAGCGGAGGAAAAGAAACUAACAAGGAUUCCCCUAGUAACGGCGAGUGAAGCGGGAAGAGCUCAAAUUUGAAAUCUUAAAGGGUUUCACUUUACGAAUUGUAGUUUAAAGAAGUGUUUUCUGUUGAGGUUUUGGUAAAAGUUCUUUGGAAUAGGACAUCAUAGGGGGUGAGAAUCCCGUAUUUGACCUUUACUUUCAACUUUGUGAUACACUUUCAAAGAGUCGGAUUGUUUGGGAAUGCAGUCCAAAAUGGGUGGUAAAUUUCAUCUAAAGCUAAAUAUUGGCGAGAGACCGAUAGCGAACAAGUACCGUGAGGGAAAGAUGAAAAGAACUUUGAAAAGAGAGUUAAACAGUACGUGAAAUUGUCAAAAGGGAAGCGUUUGACACCAGUGUUGUUUUUCUGAAAAUCAAUUAAAGAACUGUUUAUGCUAAGUUGUUUAGACUUUAUCAGCUAACUGUUUAGUUUUGAGCUUUUCUUUAAUGCACUUUUCAGUUAACAAGUCAACAUCAAUUUCUUUUGCUGUAAAAAAGCUUGAGGAAGGUGGCUUGAGAUUCGUCUUAAGUGUUUAUAGCCUCUUGCCUAUGCAGUCGGAGAGAUUGAGGUCUGCAGCGUAGAUCCUUCGGGGCUAAAUGCAUUUGUGCUAAGUUAUAGCAUUUUAUAGACAACUUGUUGACUAUGAUUUGUCUUGUAGCUUACUCGCUUAUGUUAUUUUACCUACGCUUAGGAUGUUGAGCGCAUGUCUCUCUCU
rnacentral:rRNA from 1 species